rnacentral:rRNA from 1 species
AUACGGAGGAUCCGAGCGUUAUCCGGAUUUAUUGGGUUUAAAGGGUGCGCAGGCGGCCAUUUAAGUCAGCGGUUAAAUCGUGGGGCUCAACCCCAUUCUGCCGUUGAUACUGGGUGGCUUGAUUGCGGUCGAGGUUGGCGGAAUUCGUUGUGUAGCGGUGAAAUGCAUAGAUAUGACGAAGAACACCGAUUGCGUAGGCAGCUGACCAGACCGCAAAUGACGCUCAUGCACGAAAGUGCGGGGAUCGAACAGGAUUAGAUACCCUGGUAGUCCGCACAGUAAACGAUGAAUACUUGUUUUCGGCGAUAUAAUGUCAGAGGCAAAGCGAAAGCGAUAAGUAUUCCACCUGGGGAGUACGCCGGCAACGGUGAAACUCAAAUGAAUUGACGGGG